rnacentral:tRNA from 1 species
GUCUCGUUCGUCUAGCCUGGUCCAGGACAUCGCCCUUUCACGGCGGUAACACGGGUUCGAAUCCCGUACGAGACGCCA